GAGGAGGGGGAUGCCCCUGCAGCCCAUGGUGAGAUGGCAGGCUGUCCCCCCCCAGCCUAUGGAGGUGAAUGGUGGAGAAGAUGCCCACCUGCAGCC